rnacentral:RNase_P_RNA from 1 species
UCAGACGGCCGGAUGGCCGCAUUCGCGUGCCUGUCACAGGGCGGGCGGGUGAGGAAAGUCCGGGCUCCACGGAGACACGGUGCCGGAUAACGUCCGGCGGGGGCGACCCUAGGGAUCAGUGCCACAGAGAACUAACCGCCGGCCUGCCGCAAGGCGCCGCCGGCAAGGGUGAAAAGGUGCGGUAAGAGCGCACCGCGAACCCGGCAACGGGAUCGGCAUGGCAAACCCCACCGGGAGCAAGACCAAGUAGGGGCGGCAGUCCAUCGGCAACGAUGGGCGGGGCUGUGUCCGGCUCGCCGCCCGGGUCGGUCGCGCGAGGCGUCCGGUGACGGACGUCCCAGAGGAAUGGCCAUCGAACCGCUUCGGCGGGGAACAGAACCCGGCUUACAGGCCGUCUGACGCU